rnacentral:lncRNA from 1 species
UUCUGAGGUGGUUUUAGGGUAAAAGUGAGGGGAAUUGGUGUGCUAUGGUGGUUUUGGGGUGAGACUGGGGGGAAUUGGGGUCCUGUGGUGGUUUUGGGGUGAAAGUGAGGAGAAUUGGGGUCCUGAGUUGUUUGGAGGCAUUUUGGGGUGAAAUUGAGGGAAAACGAACACUUGGGAUGAUUUUGGGGUAAAAUGAGGUGGAAAAGGGAGUUUUGGGGCACAUGGGCACAAAUUUUGGGGUCGUUUUUGGGGUGUAAUAGGGGAAAAAAGGGGUUUCCCUGCCCAUUUUGGGGGUAGAAGUGAGGGAAAAUGGGGGGUUGGGUGUAUUUUGGGGUAUAAUGGAGCGAAAAUGGGAUUUUCUGUGUCCUGGGUCAUUUUUGGGGUUAGAGCUGAGGAAAAAGGGGUUCCCCACUGCAACUUGGAGUAAUAAUGAGGAAAAAUGGGGUAAAAUUAAAUGAAAAAGGGAUUUUUGGGGUGUAUUUUAGGUAUAAUGUGAGGAAAAACAGAUUUCUGUCGCAAUUUCUGGGUCAAAACUGAAGGCCAUGUUACGGCGCAUUUUGGGGGGUCCUCGUGGACCCCCGGCGCUGCCCCCCCGCCCCGCAUCGCGCUCAGCUGCCGACCAGCACCCCCCAGACCUGGCUCGGGAACGUUCCAAAACUGUCACCUCCUUCUACAACCAACCCGCCAUCGACGCCGCUGCCGAGAAGGUGGGGUACUGAGGGGGGGGGGAUUUGGGGUGAAUUUGGGGUGUUUUGGGGGUGUUGGGAGGGUUGCUGUGGUGGUUUGGGGGGGAUUUGGGGUGUUUGGGGGGGGGUUCGUUGGGGUCUUGUGGCUUGGAUGAUGUUGUGUUGGGGUCUUGUGGCUUUGAAGAUACGGUGUUGUUACCCAUCAGGUUGUCCUUGGGGGUGAGGACAUGAGGGAGGUCUUGGGGGUGUUCUGUGGGGUU